rnacentral:rRNA from 1 species
CAUGUCUUUUUGAAUAUAAUUUAAAGUYUAAUYUGCUCCAUGAUUUAUAUUAAAUAGCUGCAGUAUAUUGACUGUACAAAGGUAGCAUAAUCAAUAGUUUUUUAAUUAAAAGCUGGAAUGAAUGAUUUUAUAAGGUAAAUAUUGUCUCAAGUUUAAUAAUUUUAGAAUUUUUUUUUUAGUAAAAAUACUAAAUUGAAUUUAAAAGACGAGAAGACCCUAUAGAUUUUUAUAAUUAAUUAUUUAAUUAAUUUAAAAAUAAAUUGUUAUAUUAAAUAUUUAAAUAUUUGGUUGGGGAAAUUAUUAAAUUUAAAAAAUUUUAAUUUUAAAUAGACAAAAAUUAUUGAUUUAUUGAUCUUAAAUUUAAAAAUAAAAGAAUAAAUUACCUUAGGGAUAACAGCGUAAUUUUUUUAAAGAGAUCAUAUUGAUAAAAAAGUUUGCGACCUCGAUGUUGAAUUAAGAUAAAAUUUUAAUGAAGAAGUUAAAAAUUUUUGGUCUGUUCGACCAUUGAAAUCUUAC